AUAUAUAUAUAUAUAUAUAUAUAUAUAUAUAUAUAUAUAUAUAUAUAUAUAUCUGUACAUACACACCUCUCUCUCCAGCACCCUGGCUAGCACACUGAGGAAAAGGUUACAGCAGUUACAUCUGCUAUAAAUCUUCAUGCUAGAUGUCCGAUUUCUAGCUUUUAAGUCUUUUUUUUUUUCUCUUCCACCCCCAUACUUAAUGACAUAGAAUGUAAUGAGUAGUGCGUGCAGAAAGCUGGCGUGGUAACUGUGUGUUACAUACCUGUUGAGGGUGUUCUCCUGCAGAUAGAGCGAAAAAGUGACAGAGAGUGAGAGAGAGAAAGAGAUUGUGAGAAAGAAAUGAAGAGAAAGAGCAAAACAAAGUGUUGUAAAGUUUAAAUUUCCUAAUUGGCCCGAUGGUGUAUGUUCUACUGCACGUUUUGAGAUAGAACAUGUAAACCUUUAGUUAUCAAAUAAAAGUAAGUGUGUGUGUGUGUGUGUGUGUGUGUGUGUGUGUGUGUGUGUGUGUGUGUGUGUGUGUGUGUAAAUGUGAGCAUGCAUGUAUACGUGUUUUUGGCCUUUGGGUCUUCCUGUGAGUCACUCCCAUGAGAUAAACCCAGUAAAGCUGUCCUAGUCCUCUCUAAUUCCUCAUUAGCUCACGGCAGGCUGUCUCAGGGGGAUUUGCACUGCCUGUGGUGUGUGUGUAUGCGUUAGUUCAGGCUCACUAGAUCUGAACGUGAAACACUAUGGGGCUUCUUAGUGGGAGGCUGCGGCAGGCCAGGUGUGUGUUCACUGCCAGGUGUGUGUAUAUGCCAGGUUCAGGAGCAGGGGAUAAGUAUGUCAGCACAACAGUGUGUUAAGUAGCAUUCAAUUUGGGAUUAUGCGCAGAAAGGAAGAGACAGUGCGAGAGAGAGAGAGAGAGAGAGAGAGCUCUUUGAAUCAGUGCUUCUUCAGUUUAUCAGUUGAAUUAAUAUACAACCCCAAUACCAAAAAAGUUGGGACGUUGUGUAAAAUGUAAAUAAAAACAGAAUGCAAUGAUUUGCAAAUCUCAUAAACUCACGUUAUUCACAAUAGAACGUCAAAAACAUAUCAAAUGUUUAAUUUGAGUAAAUGUACCAUUUUAAGAUAAAAAAAAAAGUAAUGUUGAAUUUGAUGGUCGCAAAAUGUCUCAAAAAAGUUGGGACGGUGCAACAAAAGGCUGGAAAAGUAAGUGUUACUAAAAAGAAACAGCUGGAGGUUAAUUGGAAAUAGGUCAGUAAGAUGAUUGGGUGUAAAAAGAGUAUCUUUUUAUAGAGGCAGAGUCUUUCAGAAGUAAAGAUGGGCAGAGGUUCAUUAACGAAUGUGAAAAACUGCAUCUACAAAUUGUGGAACAAUUUCAGAAUAAUGUUCCUCAAUGUAAAAUUGAGAAAGACUAUGAAUAUCUCAUCAUCUACAAUACCUAAUAUCGUCAAAAGAUUCAGAGAUUCUUGAGAAAUCUCUGUGCACAAGGGACAAGGGUGAAAAUCAGUAUUGCGUUGCCCGUGAUCUUCGGGCCCUCAGGUGGCACUGGAUUAAAAAACAGGCAUGAUUCUGUAAUGGAAAUCAGUGAAAUCAGUGCAGAAACACCUCCAGAACUCAUUGUCUGUGAACACAGUUCGCCGUGCCAUCCACAAAUGCUGCUUAAAGCUCCAUCAUGCAAAGAAGAAGCCAUAUGUGAACAUGAUCCAGAAAUGCCGCCGUCUUCUCUCGGCCAAAGCUCAUUUAAAAUGGACUGGGGAAAAGUGGAAAACUGUUCUGUGAUCAGACGAAUGGAAGUUUUAAAUACUUUUUGAAAAACCAUAGACACUAAACUAAAGAGGACUAAAGAGGAGAGGGACCAUCCGGCUUCUUAUCAGUGCUCAGUUCAAAAGCCUGCGUCUCUGAUGGUAUGGGAGUGCAUUAGUGCCGAUGGAGUUGGCAGCUUGAAUACUGAGAAAUGCACCAUCAAUUCUGAAAGGUAUAUACAGGUUUUAUAGCAACAUCCAGAUGCUUCCAUCCAGAUUCCAUCCCAUCUUUACUUCUGAAAGACUCUGCCUCUCUAAGAUACUCUUUUUAUACCCAAUCAUGUUACUGACCUGUUGCCAGUUAACGUAAUUGGUCGCAAAAUGUUCCUAAUAAAUAAAUAAAUAAAUAAUAAUGAUGAUGAUAAUGAUGAUGAUUAUAACAUCACACUUUAUAUGACACAGUAAAGAUGUAUAAAUAUAUAAGCAGCAGAAUGGAAAUGGCAUCUUUUAUGGUCUGGAAAUAGAUGGUACAUAUCAACUUUGCAGUAAGAAUAAGGCAUACAGUCUUCGAUCAGACGAGCGCAACACAGUUUCAGCGAUGUGUUAUAACAUUGCCCUCCCGCGACCGUCCCCAUGACUGCUCUGCACCUUGAGGCUUUUUAAAUAGGACAAAGGAGAAGGUGAGAGGAGCCACACUUGUGUAGUCUUGCAGCUGUUUAUUUGAUAUUACCCUGUUUAUCUUGGGUGUUAAACUUUGUCAGAGUUUGCUUUUCCUGUUGGUUCUUAGCACAGGGCACCAGAUCUGCCUCAUCAGUGUGACCUUUGUGUUUGACCUGUCUCACAACCUCCGACCACAAACACACUCCAGCCUGAAAGACAGUGUGAAUGGGAUCCUGUUCAGAUCUGAUCUGUGAUCUCUAAACAGAUUUAAAAAAAAAUAAAAAUCUUUGUUGUGUUAUUGAACUUUCUUUAAAUUUCUGCAUAUAAUUGUGUCACAUUGUAGCGUUGUGACUCAUUUCAAAGGCAGUAAAUAACUAACUUUCUCAACACUGCUCAGUAGCUCCUACCAGUGGAAUGAUCUGAUACUGCAGCUGGAAAGCAGGUCAGCUGUAUUAUUCCACAGGAUGAGGCAUGAGAAUUGAAGAGUUUCAUUUAAUAACAAUUACUGUAGAACCAAUAAUACACGAUUGUUAUAUUAUUUUGUGUAGUCUAGAAUACGUUUAUCAGGACAAACCAUAUCAUGCAAGUCUCUUUAUUUAUCUCUAUAACCAUAAGCCAGCAGAUGAAAGCAUGAGGCACACUUUGGACAUGAGGUAAAUAGGAACAUAACAGGAACAGAUUUUCCCUCAUCAGAUGUACCUAGCCUUUGUUUGGAAAAGUGGGCCCUUGUAUGAAAUUGUAGCGCCCCCCCCCCCCCCCCCUUCUUUUUUCCAGUUGCUGUCUCUCAUCUUUCGUUUGCUUUGUCAGACCUGUGCCAGUGUUUCCUGAUAGUUGAGUAAUUACUUGUAAGAGAUAGCACUCCUACAGUGCUGUACUCCUAAUCGCACCGGCUGGUCUCCACUGCAGAUCAUUCGGAGGAUAAACAUGCUAGUUUAACAGCGCCAUAAACACCACUUUCGUCUGUAUCUAUGUGCGUGUGAUGUCCUGCACUAGCCCCCAUUUGUAUGCACAACAAAUGAGUCCAAGCACAGCCAUGUUCAGCUUUUAAAAGAUGACCAACUGUUACAUAGCAGGCUCACAGCUGAUGAUAGGAUGAUCACUGACAAUUUAGUGUGUUUGUUUCUUCUUCUCAGCAUCUCUCUUUUGCAGGGCAAACGCUGCUAGUGAAAUACGUUUGGCAUGCCACAAGUGUUUUGCGCUUCAAGCUACAGUUGCACACACAACUGAAACGUAUAUUGCUUUGAAAGCCUGACAUACAUUUCUGACAGUAAUUGACUGGAAUGUUCAUGUCACACCAGUGCACCCACAGAGACAGUUACUCGUUCCCUGUUACUUGUCUAACAUCCUCUCAUCUCACACAGGCUCCUCAUUGUAAUCCCCAAAACACACACACACACACACACACACACAAUUACACACACACUCCCAACAGUUAGCUAGCCCACUUUUGAACAGACAACCCCCCUCUCCCGGUUGCUUAUGAAGUCUGAAUCAGGGUUCAGUGUCUCAUCCACCAGCGGGGAUCUAAAUAUUCCAUUACAGUAUGUGUUUUCAUGCAAUUGUCCAAAAACAGGACGAAGAGCCGUAAACGAUAUACCAGUAGAGGCAUCAUAUAAUGUAGCAGACCUCCAUACAGUUCUCUGUCUCCUUCUCACUUACAUGUGUUCUCUCUCUCUCUCUCUCUCUCUCUCUCUCUCUCUCUCUCUCUCGCUCUCUCUCACACCUCACUUACAGACAAUAAUCUCUCAGGACAUCCCUUGAUAUCCCAUAAGAACCCCACCCAGGAGGAAGAGUAACCCGAGAGCCCGUUUCUCAGGCUGUGUGUAUGUGUCUUCAGUGAAACUGUAGUAAUGUGAGACUGGCAAGUGAGGAAGCAGCACUGUAAACAGUACACAGUCAUUAACAGUGUGAAACCAGACACUGACAGUGGACAUGCUCUCAUCUGCAUCCUCCCUAUCAGUGGCAGCUGUGGGCUUGUUUGUAUACAGAUGCGGCGAGCAGCAAUGUUAAUUACCCUGCAGCUGCACUCCAGGCCUUGGACUGCAGUUUCUCACUGCGCUGUCUUUGUGCCUGGGCGCGGAGCGAGGAAUGUGGGAACGUGUGGUAAUUAAAGUGUUCUGUAACCCAAUUAAGCGUACUGCCCUGCAGCAGCAGCAGCACAGAACCCAGUGAUCAAGCUGUCUGAAAGCCAGUCGCCACUUGUAGCCAUAGCUCUUCAUCCAAAACCAGCAGGUUUUAAAGACUGGUUCAGAAAAAGAUGGUGAGCCAGAGUGGCAAGGAACUCAUCUGACAGCCAAGUCUACAGAGGCAUAUGAUGAUAUGAUGAUAUGUACGCAUAUGUCAACAGAAGAUGAAUAUGUGACAAUGACAUCAGUCACAGCUGUCUAUCACCCUGUCACCACGGAGACAAGCAGUCAAAUGG
ensembl:lncRNA